GCGGAGUUUUGAAAAGCUUGCUUUUCAAAUCUUAGCGGCGGACGGGUGAGUAACACGUGGGCAACCUGCCCUUGAGACGGGGAUAACUCCGGGAAACCGGAGCUAAUACCGGAUAACACAUAUCUUCGCAUGAGGAUAUGUUAGAAGGUGGCUUUUAGCUACCACUCAAGGAUGGGCCCGCGGCGCAUUAGCUAGUUGGUGAGGUAACGGCUCACCAAGGCGACGAUGCGUAGCCGACCUGAGAGGGUGAUCGGCCACACUGGGACUGAGACACGGCCCAGACUCCUACGGGAGGCAGCAGUAGGGAAUCUUCCGCAAUGGACGAAAGUCUGACGGAGCAACGCCGCGUGAGUGAUGAAGGUUUUCGGAUCGUAAAGCUCUGUUGUUAGGGAAGAACAAGUACCUGUUAAAUAAGCAGGUACCUUGACGGUACCUAACCAGAAAGCCACGGCUAACUACGUGCCAGCAGCCGCGGUAAUACGUAGGUGGCAAGCGUUGUCCGGAAUUAUUGGGCGUAAAGCGCGCGCAGGCGGUUCCUUAAGUCUGAUGUGAAAGCCCACGGCUCAACCGUGGAGGGUCAUUGGAAACUGGGGAACUUGAGUGCAGAAGAGGAGAGCGGAAUUCCACGUGUAGCGGUGAAAUGCGUAGAGAUGUGGAGGAACACCAGUGGCGAAGGCGGCUCUCUGGUCUGUAACUGACGCUGAGGCGCG
rnacentral:rRNA from 2 species